rnacentral:lncRNA from 1 species
UGCAUUUAAUAAUUUUUACCUUUUCCCCACUGGUUUCCUGUCGGUGCCCGAGAGGCUUGUAGCGCAUGCGCGGUAAUGCUUCUGGGCUCCUCCGUGCCCGCUCGUUGCCUCGGCCACCGCUGCCUCAAGCCGUCGCUGCCAACGGGUGGCGACGAUGCGGAACUGCUCUGGCUGGGCCCGCGGGGGGGCCCCGGGCGCCACUCGACUUUUUCGGAGCCCGAAAGUAAACACGCCAUUAUGAGGGCGGCUGGAUGCGAGCCAGUAGGCGGAACUUAGGAUAUUGUAUCUAUGUGGUUGCGAGUGAUUGGUUGUGCAACCUUGGUAUAUAUAGACAUGCACGGGCGGGGGAGGGAGAGAGCCCAACAGCUACGCAGAAAUAAAGCUUGCUUCGCUGAGGUCUUCUGGCCGUUCUUGCUGGCGAGAGCGACAAGUGGUGCUGAAACCCAGGAAACCCGAAACCUACACCGAGGAGUUCUCAGUGAAGGCAACGAUCCGGAUGCCCAAGUGCCUAUCUGGAUCCCGGAGUGACUGAUUAGAAGAAUCGAUCAACAUGGCCCGCUCCAUCCUGAUGCUUGGCCUGAUAGCGAUCCUGGCGACACCAGCAUCCCUUCAACAGAUGCACCAAUGGGCAAUAGUGAAAGCCUGGCCGUUCCCCAUGCCACUGACGAAUGAGUCCGCCAUCCUCCCUCCUGUAUACCUACUUUCAUUCCUAUGCCCGUUUCUGUAAAUCCUAACAAUUCGCCUGUAUUGCUCUCAAGACAUAAAAGAGACUUUGGGAUCACUGCAGCCAUUAUUGCGGCUGUAGCAGCCUCUGCAGCUGCAGCAACUGCAGCGGCUAUAGCUCUCACCACAUCUGUAACAAAUGGACAUUCUCCAGAAACUAUUGACGACCGGAUGCAUCCAAUUACUUUCUGGACUUUGCAUAACCUCCAUGACCUAUAAUGACCUUUCUAUUGCUGCUAAUCUGUCGAAAGAGUUAAGCAGAUGAGAUUGACAUAGCUCCAUUACAGGAUUGGGUAUCUGUUGUAAAUCCUUAUGUUCCGCCGUUUUGCAUCAUUACGUAAACAACAAUGUAGGCAACAGUUGGCGCUAGUACAAGCUUGCAUGGCAC